ACUCAAAUGAAUAGACGGGGGCCCGCACAAGCGGCGGAGCAUGUUGCUUAAUUCGAGGCAACGCGAAGAACCUUACCUGGGUUUGACAUUUAGGGAAAAGCCGUAGAGAUACGGUGUCCUUCGGGGCCCUAAACAGGUGGUGCAUGGCUGUCGUCAGCUCGUGUCGUGAGAUGUUGGGUUAAGUCCCGCAACGAGCGCAACCCUUGUCCUGUGUUACCAGCGCGUAAUGGCGGGGACUCGCAGGAGACUGCCGGGGUCAACUCGGAGGAAGGUGGGGAUGAGGUCAAGUCAUCAUGCCCCUUAUAUCCAGGGCUGCAAACAUGCUACAAUGGCUGGUACAACGGGCUGCGACACUGCGAAGUGAAGCGAAUCCCUUAAAGCCAGUCUCAGUUCGGAUUGGAGUCUGCAACUCGACUCCAUGAAGUCGGAGUCGCUAGUAAUCCCGGAUCAGCAACGCCGGGGUGAAUACGUUCCCGGGCCUUGUACACACCGCCCGU
rnacentral:rRNA from 1 species